UCGUGGUCUAUGCCAUUCCUGGUGGAAGUA
rnacentral:piRNA from 1 species